UACGUAGGGUCCAAGCGUUAUCCGGAAUCACUGGGCGUAAAGCGUGCGUAGGUGGAUGUUUAAGUGAGAUGUUAAAUCGUGUGGCUCAACCAUAUCGAUGCACCUCAUACUGGGCAUCUAGAGGACGGCAGAGGCAAGUGGAAUUUGUAGUGUAGCAGUGAAAUGCGUAGAUAUUACAAGGAACACCAAUGGCGAAGGCAGCUUGCUGGGCCACUCCUGACACUGAGGUACGAAAGCGUGGGGAGCGAACAGG
rnacentral:rRNA from 1 species